CAGGCCAGUGGAUCACGUGCAUGCAUUUA
rnacentral:piRNA from 1 species